ACCAAAUUCACAGGCUGCAUUUGGUGAUGGGUUGGCCGCAUAGACCGCAGGGACGCCCCCCGGGUCAGACAUGGGUCGGACGUUCCCAGAUAAAACGCCGAUUCCCCAUGGGUGAAGCUGACCCAAUUAUUCGGGCGCAGCCACGACACCAUGCAACCUUCCCAAUCGUGGCGCAGCGGCAUCACAAGUACCGCCACUUGCAGUUUCGGGCAGCCCAGCCGUAGACAGACUGCCCUCCACUGCUCUUGACAGGCCAGGUCCAGUUCUGCUUACCUAUGGCACAUCCCACUGCACCGGAAUUGCAGGAGGGGGUGGACAGCCCGCGCUGGUUUUGCCGGGUGCCUAUUAGUUUUUGGGUACAAACGUUUCCCCCCUCACUGCCGCCACGGUCCUCCGAUUCCAGACGCGCAGCGUGAGCUCCCCCUCUUAGCCGUACAGGGACAAGCCCCGCACGUUGCCCGUGACGCACCCCGUGGAGGUGGGGAGAGCUCUUAUCCAGAGGCCGCGACUCCACCCAGGCUAGAUUACACGGACACGCCACCAUCCGCAUCGUUCCGACACCUCUGGAUCAUGAAUGAAUACCGGACUCAACCAGACACCGACUUCUGAGAUCCGACCUCCACGCUGUGGCCUCCAGUGAGCUGGAUUACAGGGGCGCGCAACCAACCCCCAGCCCUAACAGCGCAGUAAUUGACUCUCCCAAGGAAAGCAAUUCCAUACCAAGGCCUCCAUGAAGUUGGAUUACAGAGGCGUACCAAUGCCCCCAGCCAAGUCGGUAUGGUUCCUGCUCUGUGGGACGCCAUAUGCCACGUGAGCAAAGAUGGUACUCUUCCUUGGAUGCAAGCCGGGGGUACUCGAAUUCAUCCGGCAUCAUUAGUGUGUUGGCUGAUCAACACCUUGCCCCCAGGCAAUAGGUUACAGAGGCUCGCCACAAACCUCCGGCAUGGACCAGCCAUGGCAUAGUACAACGCAACACACUAACGUCACAAGAAGUAUUGGCCCGCCAAAAAGUAUCCCCCCGACCUUACACGGUUCAGUCAGGGCCGGGCACCCUUCCCAGGACCUUCACUCAUACUGGGUGCAGCAAGGCAUGCCGGCCUACCGAGCCACCUCCCAGGGCCGGGUCGCUAGCCAGAGCUAUACGUCCUGUACCCAUUUACGUUGGGUCAUCGUCGGACCGAAGUCCUCCCAUCGAGCGUGACGGCCCACCCUACUACUGUCACCUCGUUGGUCAUGUUGUGGGCGACCCACGUACUCGAGUUGGC
rnacentral:lncRNA from 1 species